rnacentral:rRNA from 1 species
GAACGCUGGCGGCGUGCCUAAUACAUGCAAGUCGAGCGAACAGACAAGGAGCUUGCUCCUAUGACCUUAGCGGCGGACGGGUGAGUAACACGUGGGUAACCUACCUAUAAGACUGGGAUAACUUCGGGAAACCGGAGUUAAUACUGGAUAAUAUUUCGAACCGCAUGGUUCGAUAUUGAAAGAUGGUUUUGCUAUCACUUAUAGAUGGACCCGCGCCGUAUUAGCUAGUUGGUAAGGUAACGGCUUACCAAGGCGACGAUACGUAGCCGACCUGAGAGGGUGAUCGGCCACACUGGAACUGAGACACGGUCCAGACUCCUACGGGAGGCAGCAGUAGGGAAUCUUCCGCAAUGGGCGAAAGCCUGACGGAGCAACGCCGCGUGAGUGAUGAAGGUCUUCGGAUCGUAAAACUCUGUUAUUAGGGAAGAACAUACGUGUAAGUAACUAUGCACGUCUUGACGGUACCUAAUCAGAAAGCCACGGCUAACUACGUGCCAGCAGCCGCGGUAAUACGUAGGUGGCAAGCGUUAUCCGGAAUUAUUGGGCGUAAAGCGCGCGUAGGCGGUUUUUUAAGUCUGAUGUGAAAGCCCACGGCUCAACCGUGGAGGGUCAUUGGAAACUGGAAAACUUGAGUGCAGAAGAGGAAAGUGGAAUUCCAUGUGUAGCGGUGAAAUGCGCAGAGAUAUGGAGGAACACCAGUGGCGAAGGCGACUUUCUGGUCUGUAACUGACGCUGAUGUGCGAAAGCGUGGGGAUCAAACAGGAUUAGAUACCCUGGUAGUCCACGCCGUAAACGAUGAGUGCUAAGUGUUAGGGGGUUUCCGCCCCUUAGUGCUGCAGCUAACGCAUUAAGCACUCCGCCUGGGGAGUACGACCGCAAGGUUGAAACUCAAAGGAAUUGACGGGGACCCGCACAAGCGGUGGAGCAUGUGGUUUAAUUCGAAGCAACGCGAAGAACCUUACCAAAUCUUGACAUCCUUUGACAACUCUAGAGAUAGAGCCUUCCCCUUCGGGGGACAAAGUGACAGGUGGUGCAUGGUUGUCGUCAGCUCGUGUCGUGAGAUGUUGGGUUAAGUCCCGCAACGAGCGCAACCCUUAAGCUUAGUUGCCAUCAUUAAGUUGGGCACUCUAAGUUGACUGCCGGUGACAAACCGGAGGAAGGUGGGGAUGACGUCAAAUCAUCAUGCCCCUUAUGAUUUGGGCUACACACGUGCUACAAUGGACAAUACAAAGGGCAGCGAAACCGCGAGGUCAAGCAAAUCCCAUAAAGUUGUUCUCAGUUCGGAUUGUAGUCUGCAACUCGACUACAUGAAGCUGGAAUCGCUAGUAAUCGUAGAUCAGCAUGCUACGGUGAAUACGUUCCCGGGUCUUGUACACACCGCCCGUCACACCACGAGAGUUUGUAACACCCGAAGCCGGUGGAGUAACCAUUUGGAGCUAGCCGUCGAAGGUGGGACAAAUGAUUGGGGUGAAGUCGU